rnacentral:rRNA from 1 species
AAUCUUGCGAUCGUACUCCCCAGGCGGUCAACUUCACGCGUUAGCUACGUUACCAAGCCCGUUAAGGCCCGACAACUAGUUGACAUCGUUUAGGGCAUGGACUACCAGGGUAUCUAAUCCUGUUUGCUCCCCAUGCUUUCGUGCCUGAGCGUCAGUGUUAACCCAGGGGGCUGCCUUCGCCAUCGGUGUUCCUCCGCAUAUCUACACAUUUCACUGCUACACGCGGAAUUCCACCCCCCUCUGCUACACUCUAGCCUUGUAGUUUCAAACGCAGUUCCCAGGUUAAGCCCGGGGAUUUCACAUCUGACUUACAAAACCGCCUGCGCACCCUUUACGCCCAGUAAUUCCGAUUAACGCUCGCACCCUACGUAUUACCGCGGCUGCUGGCACGUAGUUAGCCGGUGCUUCUUCUGCCGGUACCGUCAGUAGUCACGGGUAUUAACCGUAACCGUUUCGUUCCGGCUGAAAGAGCUUUACAACCCGAAGGCCUUCUUCACUCACGCGGCAUGGCUGGAUCAGGGUUUCCCCCAUUGUCCAAAAUUCCCCA